CACUACGAAAUUUGUUUCUGACAGAAGCAAAUCAAGGCAAUCCAAUUCUUUCCCAUGCCUCCAUCUGAAAAGUAGGAGGAAAAAAAUAAAUAAAUAAAAGAGUCAAAUAAUGACCCCUAUAACAUAUAGUGUUCCAAAUGUUAAGCGACUUCAGCUGAUGAUGGGUCCAUCUGGUAUUUUUAUGGUGUAAGGGCUGGGUCAGCAUAAGAAAAAAAGCCAUGCUUUGUUUAGUGAUGUCAGUAGCUGUUGCGCUGGCUGGGGAGAACUGCUAGCAUGCGCAGCUCCUCGUUAGUAUAGUGGACAGUAUCUCCGCCUGUCACGCGGAAGACCGGGGUUCGAUUCCCCGACGGGGAGAGCUAGAUCCUUUUCUGCUUGCUGAACGACCCAUCCAAAAGUUUUUUUGAUGCAGCCACGAAGCUCACAGAAGGAGUUCUGCUUCAACAUCAGCCCUGAGCCAAAGGAAAUGCGUUGGCCGGGAAUCGAACCCGGGUCAACUGCUUGGAAGGCAGCUAUGCUCACCACUAUACCACCAACGCAGGCAGAAGGUGCCAGAAAUACAGGUCACUCGCAAAAGCUCCCCUCCACGGAAAUCUUUAGUAAAAGGCGAAAGAUUUAUGCGACAAUGAAGAGAAACUCGAGCUGUAUCCCCACCCCCUUGGGCCUGUGCGCUGCCAGUGGUAAGCCACUAUUCUCACCUAGGGUCAUCAAUGGUGAAGACACCUGCCCACAUGCAUUUCGUCACCCCCUCACUCCAAAGGGGAGGAGUAAAGGUCACAAAAAAUUCCCGUCAGUCACCUAAUGACCACAAGCCAAAUCAAUCAGAAUCAGAAUGAGCUUUAUUGCCAGG
ensembl:lncRNA